rnacentral:lncRNA from 1 species
GAGAAUGCUUUUUGUUUAAAUGCGAUCAAUAUUCAGGGCAGUCGUUGAUGAAGGUUGAAAAACAGUUAUUUUCAUAUGUCAAUUUGGACCAAAUUACACCCUUUACUACUCGGAAUGAGCUUAGAAUCAAGCAAAACUCAAUAAAUGAGUCUUGAGGGAGUCAAAAGUUGUUUUUAGCAAUUUUAUGCUUAUUUUGCAUUGUUUUGUAGCUAAUUUGAGAAAAGUAAGAAUGGAAUUAAAGAUACAGGUCGUUAACUCAAGAAAAGAGCAGAAAAAUGAAGUUUUGAAGAGUCGAUGCACCGCCCGGUGGCACACUUAAACCGCCGGGCAGUCCAGGAUGAGGAGAAGGCAUGGCGAUUGACGCUGGGCGAACUUGAGGGAAACCGCCUGGCGGUGGCGAUUACUGCCGGGCAGUAGGGUGAUUUGUGGCAAACCGCCGGGCGGCACACUUAAACCGCUCGGUGGUGGCUCGCUGGACUUGGGCCUGAUUUUGACGCGCUCCUCACCUAUUUAUACCCCUAUUACGAAUUCAGAGUGAUUCUUUUGACAGGGGAGAACGGCUAGACCUAAUUUUGCUCUCUCGAGAGGAUCUCUUGGAUGCUUAGGCUCCUUUUCAUCUUUUCUAGGGUUUGCUUUUCCAUUCUUCUUCCAUUUUCCAUCUAGUUUCACCAUGACUAUGGUGAACUAAACCCUAUUGUUGUUGGGGGAAACAAUGUAAUCUUUUGAUGCUCUCUCUUAUUGAAACUAUUGAAUAUUUAUAUGGUCUCCAUAUGUUUUGAUUGAUUAUUGUUGGGUUAUCAUCUGUGCUUAAGGCCUUUAUCGAUUAACUCAUUCGGUAUAUUGAUGUUUGUCUUUAUUGAUAUGGGAACGUACAGUAAUGACAUGAAUUGGUGAGUAAUCUCUUGAUUUUGCAAUACCACCUAGGGAUAGGGGUAAGACGAUCAAUUGUGCUAACUUCUAUUUAUAAUGCGGUAUUAAUUACUAGGGGAGGCUAGGGAUAGCAAGCCAGUAGUUAAUAUUAGGCCUUUUUCGCCGAGGGAUCGGGUUAAGGGGAGGCUAAGAAAGUCGCAUAACAAUUGAACCAAUCUAAUAUUCAAGGGUAGUAUGUAAGAGAGAGCGGAAUAGAUGAAAUUGUAAACCCCCAACAACAUCCAUUCCUCCAUUGUUUUUGUUUGUCAAUUGAAUCAACUUUAUCUUUGCAUGUUAAUAUUUUUUUUUCUCAAAUCCAAUUUAUUAAUUUUUAUUUUUCAAGUCUUAUUAUUUUAAUUCACG